rnacentral:sRNA from 1 species
GCCGCUGCAAAAUCAGUGGCCGGGUUUGGUCGCCCGAUUCACAAAGGCGCACAGUAGCGCCAUCGGUGCUUUUUU